rnacentral:lncRNA from 1 species
UGAGGCAGAGGGAAGGGAGAACAAAGCAGAAAAAGCUUCCAUUUGGACAGAGAUGCUUUAAGCCAUCCGACUGCCAGUAACAUAUUAAAGAGAAAAGAAAAUGCAAUGAUGCCUGAAUAUACUCAACAGUAAACAACUUCAAGCCUGAGAUUCAGAUCACAAAUCUUCCUCUGCUGCUGCUGAUGAGCUCAGCUUGAGCGUGGCUGCAGGAGACAAAGAAACUUGAUCCAAGAGGAAAAUAAGAAGAGAUCUUCACACCAAUUUUAAUCUAUCUCAGAUGUAUGUUUUAAGAAUCUAUUGUAUCAUAACCUUUGUAUUAUGUCAGAAGUCUGUUCUGUUGAAGAACUGGUCGCUCUCUUGCUGGUUCUCCAACAAGCGCUGUUUUCGCACCUGGAUGAGGACAUUUUGCCAUGUUGUGCUGGAUUGCUGUUUGUCUCUACGUGUGGCUCCUCCAGGGUUAGACUGUGUGAGCUGAAUCUUGACUUGUUUUUGACUGCCUUAUCCACGGACGCACCUGACAUACUUUCUCUCGGUGGAACAGCAAAUUGGAUUUUUCAAGAGCAGAUGAAAGACAUCUGUGCUUCUGGUUCUUGGACUUUCAGACUCAGACUCAGACCAUCAGGUGUCCCAUCUCAUUCCAAUCUCAGGCCUUGGGACUCAUACGGAAUUAUAACACCAGCUUUCCUGGAUAUCCAGCUUGCAGAUAGCAUAUCAAGGGACUUCUGGG